AUUGAACGCUGGCGGCAUGCCUUACACAUGCAAGUCGAACGGUAACAGGUCUUCGGCUGCUGACGGGUGGCGAACGGGUGAGUAAUACAUCGGAACGUGCCCGAUCGUGGGGGAUAACGAGGCGAAAGCUUUGCUAAUACCGCAUACGAUCUACGGAUGAAAGCGGGGGAUCUUCGGACCUCGCGCGGACGGAGCGGCCGAUGGCAGAUUAGGUAGUUGGUGGGAUAAAAGCUUACCAAGCCGACGAUCUGUAGCUGGUCUGAGAGGAUGAUCAGCCACACUGGGACUGAGACACGGCCCAGACUCCUACGGGAGGCAGCAGUGGGGAAUUUUGGACAAUGGGCGAAAGCCUGAUCCAGCCAUGCCGCGUGCAGGAUGAAGGCCUUCGGGUUGUAAACUGCUUUUGUACGGAACGAAAAGCCUCUUUCUAAUAAAGAGGGGUCAUGACGGUACCGUAAGAAUAAGCACCGGCUAACUACGUG
rnacentral:rRNA from 1 species